AAGAAUCUUCACAAUUUCCUGCCAGCUUUCAACAACCAAAGUUAAUGGGGAUGACAAUAGGAAUUCGUAGUUUCCAGAUAGUCCUUGACUUACAACAAGUGGCUUAACAGCUGUUCAAAGUACAAUUUUAGAAGCAGAAAGCAGCCAAGCUAAUUACAAAGUAUUGUAUCUAUUGCUGUAUUACUGCUAUAAGUUGUGGAGUCUCAUCUACAUUUGCUGUGUUUUCCAACAGCAACAGAAGACUGCACCAACAGCUCAAGUGGUGGAGAAAAGGUGGCCAGUGGCAACGUGAAGCUACUGACUGGUGUGGCAGCUGGGGUCAGUGUAGAAGCGGCAGGUGGUGGCAACACAAAGCUACUGACCAGUGGGGUGGCUGGGAUAGCACAGAGGUGGCAGGUGAUGGCAGCAGCAGGCCUACAGGUGGUGGCAAGGCAGCACGACAGAGGCGACAGAGCAGUGGAGGACCCAACUGGCAGCUCAAGAGAACCAGAGUGAAUGUCAGAGACAGAGCAACGGCUGGAGAUGGAGUGACAGAGCAAUGGAUGGAGGCAGUUGGUGGCAAGGCCCAGCAGAGAAAACUCGGCUACUAAACCUGAUCAUCAGAAAUGGCUGGAGAUAACUGGGGACAGCUAGAAAGACUGGCUGAGCACAGAAAGGGAGGCAAAAACCAAGGCAGAGAGGACAGAGAUAAAUAAGGAGCAAAUUAAGAAAAGGAAGGACAGUGAAGAAUUUUUAGAGAAGGAAGCAGCCCUGCCUUUCAUUAAAUAGCCCUAUUCCAACACUAACUCUUAACUUAAAUAUAAAUGCAAUUUUUUUUCCUUUUAAAACCAAAGGGCACACUACCACAUACUUAUCUAAACCAAAAUAGCAAGGCAGAAAAACAAGCACAAAAAGGCAGAAAAAAGGACAGAAAAAAAUAGGCAUAAUUACCCAGAACAGAGAAUCUAGAAACAAGGCAAAGCACAUCCACCAACGAAAAAGAGGGAUUGACUGAUACUAUUGUGGUAUGCAAUACAUGUUCUAUAUAUGCCCAAAGAACACCCAAACUAUACAUGCAUUAGAUGUAAACUAUGUGAAUUGCUAUAGGAAAAGGUAAGGAACUUAGAGGCAACUCUAGCCAAACCCCAAUAUACAAAAGAAAGCUCGACCCAAAAGAACCAAUUAAUAAACAAAUAACUCCCAGAGUAUUUGAUCCUAUUGAUAAAACCUUGGAGGAAGACAAAUGGAGGUAUGUCACACAAAGAAGGAAACACAAUACUCAAAGAAAGAAGCAGCAUACAUUUAACAAACUCCUUCUGCCCAAUCCAAACCAACCAGAAACAGCCCCACUAAAACUGAGCAAUCAAUUUCUCCCACUAGAUGGAAACAUGCAGACCCACAACCUUUCCCUCCCCAAAAAAACACAAAAAAAAAACCCAAAAAAAACCAUGCAGACAUCUAGCAAGGAAACAACUUCAAAAUAUUUCUUGAAAAGUCACUUCAAACAUCCCUUAAAAAGUUACAUCAACAAACAUACCAGAGAUAAACAGAAAAGCAUCCCAGACUGCAGCCCCCCAAAAAGAAAACAAGUGUUGGUAAUAGGAGAUUCUAUCCUCAAAAGAACAGAAUCAUCCAUCUGCAUCCCAGACAUACAACCCAGGGAGAUAGGUUGUCUCCCUGGAGCAAAAAUCAAAGACGUGGCUGAGAACCUAACCAAAAUAAUUAGGCCUACAAUUUACUGCCAUAUUUCCUCCAUAUUGGGAUGAAUGACACAACAAAGAACCCACAAACAACUAGGCAAUAAAGUUAAGAA